UUACUGAAACUACACACAAAUACGACCCUAAAUUCGACUGUGAACAUAUGCCUGGCAUGGAUGUAUUUGACCUGACAAAUGCUACUUGGGAAGACGCCACUUAAGCAGCAGAAAUACAGUAUAGGAAAUAUUCAUCGAUUUUUCGUACAUAUAAAUAAUAAAACUACACGCGAUUUUACAUAAUAGUGCCAAAUAACUCCAUCUAUUAGAAUAAAAAGGGACCUGAAAGCCAGCUCUAUUGUAAUUGAUAUCAUAAAAUUAUAAUAUAUAAAAAGAUUCAGUGGUGUUUCAACUCUUAAAGUUAUGGACGUAUGAAGUCUGUAAAUCAAACAAAGAAAAAGGGUUUUCUUGAAUAUUUAAAUUAAAAUUAAAAUUGUAUAUGAUUCAAUAGGAAUAAUAGUAGCAAUACAGAUUCGUACUUUGAAAUACAGCAUAGAUGUUUGCUACCCAAUAAAUAUUACCUAAAGUGUUGAUGUCAA